AGGAGGUGUUUCAGUUUGAGGAGGUUGGUCGCCGACAUAACUGAAGAAAACGGAAAAUUCCAACUAAACUUGUAGAUGCCCAAAUGGAAACUUAGUAAGACGCGGGUUCGACUCCCGCCACCUCCACCA
rnacentral:tmRNA from 1 species